rnacentral:rRNA from 1 species
UACGGAGGGAGCUAGCGUUAUUCGGAAUUACUGGGCGUAAAGCGCACGUAGGCGGCUUUGUAAGUUAGAGGUGAAAGCCUGGAGCUCAACUCCAGAACUGCCUUUAAGACUGCAUCGCUUGAAUCCAGGAGAGGUGAGUGGAAUUCCGAGUGUAGAGGUGAAAUUCGUAGAUAUUCGGAAGAACACCAGUGGCGAAGGCGGCUCACUGGACUGGUAUUGACGCUGAGGUGCGAAAGCGUGGGGAGCAAAAGGG